rnacentral:rRNA from 1 species
GAUGAACGCUAGCUACAGGCUUAACACAUGCAAGUCGAGGGGAAACGACAUCGAAAGCUUGCUUUUGAUGGGCGUCGACCGGCGCACGGGUGAGUAACGCGUAUCCAACCUGCCCAUCACUUGGGAAUAACCUUGCGAAAGUAAGACUAAUACCCAAUGAUAUCCCACGAAGGCAUCGGAAUGGGAUUAAAGAUUUAUCGGUGAUGGAUGGGGAUGCGUCUGAUUAGCUUGUUGGCGGGGUAACGGCCCACCAAGGCAACGAUCAGUAGGGGUUCUGAGAGGAAGGUCCCCCACAUUGGAACUGAGACACGGUCCAAACUCCUACGGGAGGAAGAAGUGAGGAAUAGUGGUAAAUGGGCGAGAGCCUGAACCAGCCAAGUAGCGUGCAGGAAGACGGCCCUAUGGGUUGUAAACUGCUUUUAUAAGGGAAUAAAGUGGGUCACGUGUGACUUUUUGCAUGUACCUUAUGAAUAAGGACCGGCUAAUUCCGUG